rnacentral:rRNA from 1 species
UACGUAGGGGGCAAGCGUUGUUCGGAAUUACUGGGCGUAAAGCGCGCGUAGGCGGCCCUGUAAGUCCGUUGUGAAGGUCAAAGGCUCAACCUUUGAAUGCCGAUGGAUACUGCAGGGCUAGAGUCCGGAAGAGGCGAGUGGAAUUCCCGGUGUAGCAGUGAAAUGCGUAGAGAUCGGGAGGAACAUCAGUUGCGAAGGCGGCUCUCUGGACCAGCACUGACACUGAGGCACGAAAGCGUGGGGAGCAAACAGG